UGCAAGUCGAACGAAGUAGCAAUACUUAGUGGCAGACGGGUGAGUAACAUGUAGGUAUCUACCCUUUGGCCUGGAAUAACACGAGGAAACUUGUGCUAAUACUGGAUAAGUCUUAACGGAGAAAGCUUUAUGCACCAUUGGAUGAGCCUGCACUUGAUUAGUUUGUUGGUGGGGUAAUGGCCUACCAAGACUGUGAUCAAUAGCUGAUUUGAGAGGAUGAUCAGCCACAUUGGGACUGAGACACGGCCCAAACUCCUACGGGAGGCAGCAGUGGGGAAUCUUGCACAAUGGAGGAAACUCUGAUGCAGCGAUGCCGCGUGAGUGAAGAAGGCCCUUGGGUUGUAAAGCUCUUUCGUCGGGGAAGAAAAUGACUGUACCCGAAUAAGAAGGUCCGGCUAACUUCGUGCCAGCAGCCGCGGUAAUACGAAGGGACCUAGCGUAGUUCGGAAUUACUGGGCUUAAAGAGUUCGUAGGUGGUUGAAAAAGUUGGUGGUGAAAUCCCAGAGCUUAACUCUGGAACUGCCAUCAAAACUUUUCAGCUAGAGUAUGAUAGAGGAAAGCAGAAUUUCUAGUGUAGAGGUGAAAUUCGUAGAUAUUAGAAAGAAUACCAAUUGCGAAGGCAGCUUUCUGGAUCAUUACUGACACUGAGGAACGAAAGCAUGGGUAGCGAAGAGGAUUAGAUACCCUCGUAGUCCAUGCCGUAAACGAUGUGUGUUAGACGUUGGAAAUUAAUUUUCAGUGUCGCAGCGAAAGCAAUAAACACACCGCCUGGGGAGUACGACCGCAAGGUUAAAACUCAAAUGAAUUGACGGGGACCCGCACAAGUAGUGGAGCAUGUGGUUUAAUUCGAAGAUACGCGCAGAACCUUACCAACACUUGACAUGUUCGUCGCGACUUUAAGAGAUUAAAGUUUUCGGUUCGGCCGGACGAAACACAGGUGCUGCAUGGCUGUCGUCAGCUCGUG
rnacentral:rRNA from 1 species